rnacentral:lncRNA from 1 species
AGCCCUUUCCAUUACUACCCACUGACCACAGUGUGAGCAAAAGUUUCUGUGACCUCAUUUAUCUGUUAAUUCAGAACGCUGAGCAUCCUGAAGUACUUCAGUUUGCCCCUUGUCUUGAGUUUACACAAGGCACACACACACAGGGCAGGGCCCCAUUAAGGAAAUCUCAUUUCGGGGACAGGAGAGGAAGAUGAUCAGCGUGCACCUUAGAGCGAUACAGCAAAUUUCAGUACUGUGCUCACCAUGGUGGGAUGCGGACAUCAUUCUGAAGUUGGUGCAGGGAAAAAGCGUGUUUAGAAACACGUCGAACCUCCCCAUCCCAAGCCUGCACCUCCUGCUUCCGGGAAGCUGAGUCUGCUGUAAGGAUGGCUUCAACCGCACUGGCAAUCCUGUCUCUGACCAUGUCAGGUAGUCCCUCCAGCCCAUCACGGGGAAUAUCCAAAUGUUCCGGGAAAAUUACUAUUUUUACAUCUUCAUCAUAUUCAAACUUUUCCUCUGUGAUGUCAAAUCCACCUUCUACACCAAUAGCCAAGCGAGUUGGUUUCUUCCUUGGGGGGUCCCCGGCACUGGAAUUAGCAUCUUCUUCCUUCGGUUUACGUGUUCUUUUGAGGUGCAGAUAGACCCGCUGGCCUGUUUUCUGGUAGUGCUUUUCCACAUACUGUUUCCCAAAGCCCAGGAACGUGUUCAUGCAGAUAUAUAAGCCGCCAUCGGAUUCCGGCGUGUCGAAGGAGAAGGCGCACUCGUCCUUAUGGACCCGGUCGCCGGCCUUAGGCACCCGGAUGGACGGCAACACCGAGAGCAGCGCUUCGCUCAGCUCCGC